AUUGAACGCUGGCGGCAGGCCUAACACAUGCAAGUCGAGCGGGGUUUUCGGACCUAGCGGCGGACGGGUGAGUAAUGCGUAGGAAGCUACCCGAUAGAGGGGGAUACCAGUUGGAAACGACUGUUAAUACCGCAUAAUGUCUACGGACCAAAGUGUGGGACCUUCGGGCCACAUGCUAUCGGAUGCGCCUACGUGGGAUUAGCUAGUUGGUGGGGUAAUGGCCCACCCAGGCGACGAUCCCUAGCCGGUUUGAGAGGAUGAUCAGCCACACUGGAACUGAGACACGGUCCAGACUCCGACGGGAGGCAGCAGUGGGGAAUAUUGGACAAUGGGCGCAAGCCUGAUCCAGCCAUGCCGCGUGUGUGAAGAAGGCCUUCGGGUUGUAAAGCACUUUCAGUAGGGAGGAAGAGUUGAGUGUUAAUAGUACUCAGCUUUGACGUUACCUACUGAAGAAGCACCGGCUAACUCUGUGCCAGCCGCCGCAGUAAAAC
rnacentral:rRNA from 1 species